ACUUUCAAGUCUAGCCAAAAAAUAGGGAAGAUGGAGGUUAACAAUAAUGUUCCUAAAUCAGCUCGUCGGUCUGUAGAUUACCAUCCAAGUGUUUGGGGAGACUAUUUCCUCGCAUAUGAUUCUUCAUCUACGGAGAUUGAUCGUCAUGAGGAAGAAGAAGCUGAACGGCUUAGAAAUGAGGUGAGGAAGAUGCUACUAGCAUCGACACGAAAAUUAGAGCUCAUUGAUAUGGUGCAACGAUUAGGAAUGUCAUAUCAUUUUGAAACCGAUAUUGAGGAAUCACUUAAAAACAUCUACAACAACAGUUGCAGUCAAUUUGAUAAGCUUGAGACCGUUGCUCUUCAAUUUCGAUUAUUAAGACAAGCUGGAUAUAAUGUCUCAUGCGAUGUCUUCGAAACAUUUAAAGAUGAUGAAGGGAAUUUUAAGGAAGCAUUGGUUAGCGACGUUAAAGGAAUUUUGAGCUUGUAUGAAGCAGCACAUCUCGGAGUUGGUGGAGAGAAUAUUUUAGAGGAAGCAUUAACUUUCACUACCAAGUGCCUUAAAUCCAUGGUGCCUAACUUAAGUGGAUAUUUUGUUAAACAAGUAAUUCAUGCCUUAAAGAUGCCAAUUCGCAGAACCUUAGCAAGAGUAGCAACAAGGCAGUACAUAAAUAUUUAUCAAGACAAUCCUGAACAUAAUAAAGUACUGUUACAAUUUGCACGACUAGACUUCAACAUGUUGCAGAAGGUACAUCAGAAAGAGCUAAGUGGUAUUACAAGGUGGUGGAAAGAUUUGGACGUUGAAAGAAAUUUCUCAUUUGCUCGAAAUCGUCUGGUAGAAGCCUAUUUUUGGAUAUUAGGAGUGUACUUUGAGCCUCGAUAUUAUAUUGCGCGAAGAUUCACAACCAAAGUAAUCUCCCUUGCCUCCAUAUUAGACGAUUUGUACGAUGUGUAUGGAACACUCGAUGAACUUGAAAUGUUCACGGAUGCCAUUCAAAGGAGAAGUUUUAACAUAUAAAAUAAUGAGUAUAUAUAUUUUAACAGAUGAUCCAUAUAUGAGUAAACAUUGACUUAGUUCGAAAUUCUUAUUGCACAGAUGGGACAUAAAUGCACCACAGCAGCUACCUCCAUGCCUUAAGCUCCUAUACCAUUAUCUUUUUAAUACUUAUGCUGAAAUGGAAGAGUUGUUGGCAAAGGAAAACAAAUCCUACCGAAUUCUCUAUGCAAAAGCUGAGCUUAAGAAAGUAGUGAAAGCAUAUUAUCAAGAGUUCAAGUGGUAUCAUGCUGGAUAUGUUCCAACAUUUGAGGAGUAUCUGAAAGUUGCACUGGUAACUUCAUGUCAUAUGAUGCUUUCCACAACUUCUUUGGUUGGUAUGGGAGAAUUAGUCACUAAGGAGAACUUUGAGUGGGUUACAAGUGAACCUUCGAUGGUAAAAGCUUCCUGUGUAGUUUGUCGAUUGAUGGAUGACAGGAUUACAUAAGGUAAAAAUAUCCCCUCUGAUUUUCAUUUUCUUCUUCUUUAUCUUAUGGCACUUCCAUGCUCGUGUUUUUAGCAAUUUUUAAGAUCACCUUAAAUUUGUUAGAAACAAAAUUAAUGUAAAACAUUUCUUCCUUUGCUUCUUUUUGGUUUGAUAGAAGCCAUUUCGAGAGUAUGAUUUAUAGAACCUACCCGUCCCUCCUUCAUCCCACAUCUUACUUUAGACCUUUUGUCUUUCUAUUCGGAGGUGUUACUGUUUGAGGGUCAAACAAUUUUUCUUUCACGAUAAUUUUCUCA